rnacentral:rRNA from 1 species
AGCGAACGCUGGCGGUAGGCCUAACACAUGCAAGUCGAACGGCAGCACAGUAAGAGCUUGCUCUUACGGGUGGCGAGUGGCGGACGAGUGAGGAAUACAUCGGAAUCUACUUUUUCGUGGGGGAUAACGUAGGGAAACUUACGCUAAUACCGCAUACGACCUACGGGUGAAAGCAGUGGAUCUUCGGACCUUGCGCGAUUGAAUGAGCCGAUGUCGGAUUAGCUAGUUGGCGGGGUAAAGGCCCACCAAGGCGACGAUCCGUAGCUGGUCUGAGAGGAUGAUCAGCCACACUGGAACUGAGACACGGUCCAGACUCCUACGGGAGGCAGCAGUGGGGAAUAUUGGACAAUGGGCGCAAGCCUGAUCCAGCCAUACCGCGUGGGUGAAGAAGGCCUUCGGGUUGUAAAGCCCUUUUGUUGGGAAAGAAAAGCAGCAGGUUAAUACCCCGCUGUUCUGACGGUACCCAAAGAAUAAGCACCGGCUAACUUCGUG